CCUACGGGAGGCAGCAGUGGGGAAUAUUGCACAAUGGGGGAAACCCUGAUGCAGCGACGCCGCGUGAGCGAUGAAGUAUUUCGGUAUGUAAAGCUCUAUCAGCAGGGAAGAAAAUGACGGUACCUGACUAAGAAGCCCCGGCUAACUACGUGCCAGCAGCCGCGGUAAUACGUAGGGGGCAAGCGUUAUCCGGAUUUACUGGGUGUAAAGGGAGCGUAGGCGGUGCAGCAAGUCAGAAGUGAAAGCCCGGGGCUCAACCUCGCUCCGCCGUUGAAACUGGCGUUCUUGAGUGGGCGAGAAGUAUG
rnacentral:rRNA from 1 species